CGUACACUCCUACGGGAGGCAGCAGUGGGGAAUAUUGCACAAUGGGCGCAAGCCUGAUGCAGCCAUGCCGCGUGUAUGAAGAAGGCCUUCGGGUUGUAAAGUACUUUCAGCGGGGAGGAAGGCGAUAAGGUUAAUAACCUUGUCGAUUGACGUUACCCGCAGAAGAAGCACCGGCUAACUCCGUGCCAGCAGCCGCGGUAAUACGGAGGGUGCAAGCGUUAAUCGGAAUUACUGGGCGUAAAGCGCACGCAGGCGGUCUGUCAAGUCGGAUGUGAAAUCCCCGGGCUCAACCUGGGAACUGCAUUCGAAACUGGCAGGCUAGAGUCGUGUAGAGGGGGGUAGAAUUCCAGGUGUAGCGGUGAAAUGCGUAGAGAUCUGGAGGAAUACCGGUGGCGAAGGCGGCCCCCUGGACAAAGACUGACGCUCAGGUGCGAAAGCGUGGGGAGCAAACAGGAUUAGAAACCCCAGUAGUCCC
rnacentral:rRNA from 1 species